UACAGAGGUCCCAAGCGUUAGGCGGAAUCACUGGGCUUAAAGCGUGUGUAGGCGGAUGCCUAAGUACCUUGUGAAAUCCCACGGCUUAACCGUGGAACUGCUUGGUAUACUGGGUGUCUUGAGCCACCUAGGGGCGAGCGGAACAAGUGGUGGAGCGGUGAAAUGCGUAGAUAUCACUUGGAACGCCAAUGGUGAAAACAGCUCGCUGGGGGUGUGCUGACGCUGAGACACGAAAGCCAGGGGAGCAAACGGG
rnacentral:rRNA from 1 species